rnacentral:rRNA from 1 species
GAGUACGUGAAACUGUGUGGUGGUAAACGGAGGGGUUCUCGAAGUUUCUGUGGGGAACUCAGCCUUGGUGUCGCGUGGCCCUGUCGUAUCUGAUCAGCAAUGACAGUGCGGCUUGGCCGACGUGUCUCUCGGGUGCAUUUCCCCCGCAGUUUACGGCAGGAACUGUUUGGAGCGCACCGAAGGCCUCGGGUGAAGUUGUUGGUUCUGCUGGCAGCCCUGGGUGUCCUGGCUUCGCACCAGACAGGUACGUGAGAGGACUCGUAUAGCGAGCAAUGCUCUGUUGCGGUUCUCAUCUCUCUGCCGAGUAGGUCGGUGGCCCCUCCGACCCGUCUUGAAACACGGA